rnacentral:rRNA from 1 species
GCAAGUCGAACGGGAAGCAGUCUUCGGAUUGUGGAACGUGGCGGACGGGUGAGUAACACGUAGAUAAUCUGCCUUUAAGUUGGGGAUACCCCAUGGAAACAUGGAAUAAUACCGAAUAAAAUCUUUAGACCAUAAGGUUUUUAGAUGAAAGGAGCUUCGGCUUCGCUUAAAGAUGAGUCUGCGGUUCAUUAGCUAGUUGGUGGGGUAAUGGCCUACCAAGGCAGUGAUGGUUAGCUGGUCUGAGAGGAUGAUC